UCACAAGCAAAGACUAACAGAUGCACCCUCACACAGUUUCACCUCUUUUGUACUGUCUAGAAGCCUCUAUCUAGGGAAUGGCACAUUUCAUAGUGCGGUCAGUCUUCCUAUAUCAAUUAAAAUUUUAGACAAACCCUACAGACAUGUCCAUAGGUCAACCUGAUAUGGAUACUUCUUCAGUAAGACCAUUUUCCCAGGUAAUUCUAGAUCAUGCCAAAAGUAACCACCACAAGUCAUGUAGGAAGUAAAAAUGUUUCUGGUAUAUAUAUGAACUUGUAAAUUACAACACUUAGGCCAAUUUUGAUACUUAGACAAUAAAACAUUGAUUGGAGAAAUGUUUUUGUAACAAUGAUAUGAAUGCUUAGAUAUGUUGGUUAGAAGUUGCAUGGAAUCACAAAAAGUAGUUUGGGGGAAAUUGAGCCAAUUAAGUACCAGUCAGUGCAAUAUAAAAUGAAUUCGAUAACUUCAAUAAAUGGCAUAUUAGUUUAUUUUUUUAAGUAAGAGCUGUUCUUGGUUGUUUAAAUUGUAUAUCUAUCUCAGUGGGUGAAGGCAGUAGGAUUGAAAUUUUGAGGUCAGCCUGAGUCACAAAGUAAGGUCAAGAUAAACUUGAGCACCAGUGAGACCUUAUCUCAGAAUAAAACAAAAACAACUAAAUAAAAUAAAUGAGAGAGAGAGAGAGAGAGAGAGAGAGAGAGAGAGAGAGAAAACAUAAAUUAAUUAUGGGAACAGUAGCAAUGGCCAAAGGUCAACUUUGGAAAUGACGUAGUCAGGGUACCACCUUGUCUUACAAAGAGUGGAUGAUAAAUAAAAGGGUUUGGUAAAAGGAAUUUCAAGCAAAAACAUUUCCAUAAAUAAAGCAGAGGUGUGAACCAUAGAAGGACUUGGUGAAAGAAGUGUCACUUACAGUAUAGAGAUAUUGGAAACAAAGUAGCAGUAAAUGAUACCAAAAUCAUUGGGAACUAACAUGACGAUAUCUAAAGCUAUGAUUUCUAAACACAUGUUUCUGUAGCUGGCCUUUGCUACUUUGUGAGUUCUUUUCCCCCCCAUCAUUUAUCACCCUGGUUUCACCUUCUAUCUCUAGAUAGGAGAGAAAGAAGGAUAGAGGGAAGAGAGAGAAAGAGAGAACCCUGAAUCUAAUUGUUUCCUUUUGUUUCUUCUUUGAGCACAUCUCAAACCAAAGCAACUCCCACCCCUAAACAACCAACAACCACUGACCCCACCUAUCAGGGCCCUAGCAUUUAUAUACCCUCUGAAAAGUUCCCAGAAUUCCAAACAUCACGAUAUACUUGCAAAAACUAUCUGCAGCUGGUAUGUCCCUGCCAGACCAUAAGGCAAAUCAAAGCCAGCUGCUGUGGACACUCGGAAGCAGCUCCAUAUGCCAUGACUGGGAUUAAAAGGAAAACAUAUUCCCAUAAUGUUUCUGUGUUUUUAAAAGAAAUUAAAAUUUCAUAUUUCUUGCUACAUAUUUCUUUUUUUCUUUUCCAACUUGCAGACUAAUUUUAUCAAUGCUAUAUAACAUUUUACUUAAUUUGUAAAAGUUGUUUAACUAUUCAAGAAAAUUUUGUUCUUCCUUAGUCUUUCCCAUCUUGGUAAAAGGACCCUCUAUAUAAAUGAAACCAGUAAUUCAAAUGAAAAACUCUGAAUGACAUGGAAUAAUCAUAUCUCUCACCACAUUUUUUCCUAAUAUGUGUAAAUUGUGCCUGUAACUUGUAUCUCUAAUCAAUCAAGUUUUUACUGGACCCUGGUACAAAUUAAUCUAAUUUCUCACAUGGACUAUAGCAACUUUUGACAUAUGUUUCUGUUUCUAGAGUGUCAUAACUUUGUAUACAUCAGACUUUUAAUAGAAGCAUUUUCCCUUCCUUGAAGAUAUGUAUAUGAUAUUAGUAUAUGCAACAUGAUUAGUAACUUGAAAUAUGUCUGUGUAUCAAGUCUUUUUUAACUUGUGCUUUUAUUUUGAUGAGAGAACAACAUCUUAAAUAGCUAUGCAUCCAAAGAGAAUAUAAAACACAUGGCACAGAACUUGAUCUAAUCAUAACCAAUUUUCAAAUAAACAAUUCUAAAUUUCAUACGAAUUUUAGCUUUGGAGUAGUUUGUUACUCAGUAUUAUUUUUCAGUGAUAACAUCAUGUAUAACCAACAUUCAUUAGUCAUACAAGCCCAGUUUAGAGUGCUAGAUGGCUCUCUGCUGUUUUCAAUUCAGUAAGAACUGAAAACAUGCUGAGGAUCCAAUUCUGUCCUACAUGACUGAUUCUCACCUCUUGUUUCUGUUACAUCAGCUAUGUGGGUUACACAAAGUAAGCUUCUAGCCAAACAUAUUCAUAUCUGCAAUGCAUUAUGUCUUCUGCAUUUUUUUCUAGAAAUAUAUAUGUGUGAUCUUUUCUUUUACUUUAUUUAGAUGUUGCCUCUUAAAGCACACCUUCCUGACUCAGAGAUGAAAUUAUUUCUCAAAGAGCAUUUGAAAGAUCCAUAUACAUCAUUUAUGUAUCCACUUACCUUGUUUUAGUGUUGUCACUUAGCACCCAACACUGCCUCAAAAUAUACGACAUAUUUGUCUGUUAAUUAACUUAAGUCUCUAUCAAUGAAAAGUAAAGCUUGAGAAGUUGUUCCCUAAUAUGCCUACAGCCUCUGUAGUCUUCCCAGAAAAGAUUCACUUAAUUAACGACUAUCAAUUGGGUAGGAAAAACGAUUUUAAAGGCUCUAUUAGUGGGAAAAACUCUACCGAACCUUAAUAAUUUAGGGGCUGUUCUAUGAAGUUUGUGUGAAGGAAUCUAGAUAAAGGCAGAACGAUUGUAAAAGAGAAAUUUUCACAUGGAGUCCAUGUAAUGUAGUGAUUUAUUGAAUACAGACCCAAAUAACUCAAAUUUUAAUUGUAAAGACUCAAGUAAAGGAAUCUGUAAAGAUAAUUAUGACAUCCACACAUAAAUUUACUUUACUAAAUGUAUCAAAGGACUAACUCUAUGCCACAUACUCUCCUAAGGCCUGGAAAGCACAAAGAGAAAGGUCCCCAUAUAAGAUUUGUUAACUGGCUAAUAUUAAAGGACUUAGUUUCAAAGACUGUUCUAAGUGCUAUAAUAGCUAUUUGCACAGGGGGGCAACACGCUUCUACAUAUAAAAAGAGAUAGAAAACAGAGAAACAGAAGAAAGUUUGGAGCAAAGUAUUAGAAUAGCUCUAAUUAUAAUGGAUUUGAAGCUAAAAGUAAAGAUUCUAAGCAGCAUCUAACAUUAUCUGAAAACAAAAGAUAAGAUUUUAACUAACUAUAUGGAGUCAUCAGAUGUAUCAAUAAAGAAGUAUUUAGACUGGAUGAUAUCAUGCCAAGAGAGUAUACAAAGAAUCCUGAUUUUCAAACAGAGUCACUGGAUAGAUAAAGAUAAAGCUAUGAAUUAUUCGAAAGAAGAUAUCAGAUAGGAAGGUAGAAAGGAAAGUUUAUCUGGAAACAGAAUAAAAAGCAAUUUCAAAAAGGGGCAGACUGUUAAGAUGUGGAGAUAUCUUACAAGAGUUCACUCAAUUUGUUGAACUAAGAUAUUAGCAAUGUACUGAAGCAUGUGUCCUUGUGGGAUAGUACCAGACGUUGGAAACAACCCAGAUGCCCCUCAACUGAAAAAUGGAUAAAGAAAUGUGGUUCAUUUACACAAUGAAAUACUAUUCAGCUAUUAUAAACAAUGACAUUAUGAAUUUUACAGGCAAAUGGAUGGAACUAGAAAAUAUCCUGAGUGAGGUAACCAAGAGCCAAAAGGGCAUGCAUGGUAUGUACUCACUUAUAAGUGGAUAUUAGUCAUAAAAUAAAGGAUACCCAUGCUACACCUCACAGACCCAAAGAGGUUAAAUAAGAAGGAAAGCCCAAGUGAGGAUGUUUAAAUCCCACUUAGAAGGGGGAACAAAGUAGUAAUGGGAGACAGAAAGAACUGGGUGGGAGAGAGAAUGUGGAGGGGAAAUGGGGUAUCAGGAUCUGGUGUGGGGAGAGAGAGAAGAGAGUGUCAGAAGGCCAGGAGAAUGAAUGGAAAUCUGCAACUGGAGAGGGAGGGGAAGU
rnacentral:lncRNA from 1 species